CUGCUAGAAUUCUAGAAGCCACGAAAGAAAACAAGGAGAGGAAGGAAGUAGGGGGGCAGCGGGAGGGGAGGGGCCGGGGACUUGAGCCUGCGAACCCCCCUGUAUCCUCCCAGCUCCUGCGUGAUGACGUCACCCCCGCAUGGCAGCCGGCCGAGGCCCAGACAGAGUGAAUAGAACGCUGAAUAAAAAUCAGCCCCUGCCGCACAAUUGCAGGAUUGAAAGACGUCCUUCCUCCCCAGAUCCGUGCUCCCCUCCCUCCCGGGUCUCCAGAGUGGAACUUUCUCCAAAAAUAAAAUGAGAUAAAACAAGACGCACAACGGCUCUGGGAGGCCAAGGAGGGGAGAGCCGGCGUCCGUGCGGGGCGAGG